rnacentral:rRNA from 1 species
UACGUAGGGGGCGAGCGUUGUCCGGAUUUACUGGGCGUAAAGAGCGCGUAGGCGGAUGUUUAAGUGUGGCCUGAAAGCCCCCGGCUCAACCGGGGAUCCGGUUGCAAACUGGGCAUCUUGAGGGAUAGAGGAGAGUGGAAUUCCUGGUGUAGCGGUGAAAUGCGUAGAUAUCAGGAGGAACACCCUGGCGAAGGCGGCUCUCUGGUCCGCCUGACGCUGAGGCGCGAAAGCGUGGGAGCGAACGGG